CCCAACAAAGCCUCCACUGCCUGACUGCAGAACACAGCCUUUGAUUGCUCAUGCAGAAAGGUGGCUUGUGAUGAUUGGAACACUCUGAUAUCUGGCUUUGACAAGUUCCUCUUCCUUCUCCAGCUUCAUCCCUGUUUUUCACCUUGCGUGGCUUAAAUCUCUACCCUAAAUAUACUGUCUCCUCUCAAAAUGAAACAACAUAGAAACUACCAAUAAACAGUGUGAAAUAAACAAUAAAUAGCAGAAGGUCUCCUCUAUAAACCGAUUUUUUGAGAAUUCAUAAAUUAAGCAUUUUUUCAGAGUAGGAGCUGGCUGAGGGCUUUAGGUU
rnacentral:lncRNA from 1 species